UCAACCCCUUCCCCCCUUUGCACUUUCUCUUUCCCCUCCACUCAGUAAAACUUUCGCGUUUUCACUUUCCCCUUUCACAAAUUCACAAAAUCAAUCCCUUUUCACUUUCCCCUUUUCCCCGCUUUCAGUUUCCCGCUACUGAUUUUCUUUGUGUUCCAAAGUGCAAUUGAUUUUCACUUCCAUCGUCUUUGCAAUUUCCUUUUUAUCGUCCAUCGUUCAACGGCGACUAAAGUUUAGGUUUAAUUCAUUGCCAUCGUGGUGCUGUCAUUCAACGAUGAAGAUGUUUUGAGGCUGUGAACGGUGAAGAAGGCGUGCAAGGAAACAUCACCCUGCAAACUGAAACUUGGACUGUUACUGUUGCUGAAAUUGGUUAUAGUUCUCCACCCUUUGUUGCUCUUGGAACUGACAUGGAUGUUUAACCUAUUCAGGUGUCCUUUGCUUUGAACUAGACAACUAAUGAUGGGGCAUGCCUAACAAGUGUAAACUAUAUAGUAGACUUUUGUCAUCUUGCUGCAGACUUGGGAUCUCCGGGACUCAGAAGAUCCUCUAAUGGUAGUUAUGACCCACAUUGUGAAGAACCAAAUGCAUCACCUCUUGCUCAACCUCCACCACUAGCACCAGAAUCUUAAAUUUUAACUGUUGACACUUUUUGCAUUCCUGGAUAUACACUUUUUGCAAUCCAUGUAUGGACACUUUUUGCUUCCUGGAUAUAAUCUAGCUACAUGACAUUGUGCAUGGAUUUCUUCCAUGAAUGGUUGUUAGUUUUCUGGAUUUUUAACUGUUGACAUUUCUAGUUAAGUCCCUAGGUUAUGGUUGUUGAAUAUGCACUGUUAGCUAAAUUUGUUAGGUUAU